UACGGGGGGAGCAAGCGUUGUUCGGAUUUACUGGGCGUAAAGGGCGCGUAGGCGGCCACCGCAAGUCGACUGUGAAAUCUCCGGGCUUAACUCGGAAAGGUCAGCCGAUACUGCGGGGCUAGAGUGCAGAAGGGGCAACUGGAAUUCUCGGUGUAGCGGUGAAAUGCGUAGAUAUCAAGAGGAACACCUGAGGUGAAGACGGGUUGCUGGGCCAACACUGACGCUGAGGCGCGAAAGCCAGGGGAGCAAACGGG
rnacentral:rRNA from 1 species